GACGAACGCUGGCGGCGUGCCUAAUACAUGCAAGUCGAGCGCAGGAAACUGACGGAACUCUUCGGAGGGAAGGCAGCGGAAUGAGCGGCGGACGGGUGAGUAACACGUAAGGAACCUGCCUCAAGGAUCGGGAUAACUCCGAGAAAUCGGAGCUAAUACCGGAUAGUUCAACGGACCGCAUGGUCCGUUGAUGAAAGGCGCUUCGGCGUCACCUUGAGAUGGCCUUGCGGUGCAUUAGCUAGUUGGGGGGGUAACGGCCCAUCAAGGAGACGAUGCAUAGCCGACCUGAGAGGGUGAUCGGCCACACUGGGACUGAGACACGGCCCAGACUCCUACGGGAGGCAGCAGUAGGGAAUCUUCCACAAUGGACGAAAGUCUGAUGGAGCAACGCCGCGUGAGUGAUGAAGGUUUUCGGAUCGUAAAACUCUGUUGUAAGGGAAGAACACGUACGAGAGGGAAUGCUCGUACCUUGACGGUACCUUACGAGAAAGCCACGGCUAACUACGUGCCAGCAGCCGCAGUAA
rnacentral:rRNA from 1 species